UCCAAAUUUCUGCUUUGCAUUUUUGCUUUCGACCAUGGGAAUGCACUACCUCGCCAAGAAUUUAUCUACCUUCAAGAGCUUCCUUCCACGGAAAGGCUCUUCUGAAAUUAAGAGCAAAGAGGUAGUCUUCCACGAACAGGAAUUAAGGUAUGUAACAGAGUAGUAUGUACCAGUUGAUAUGUUGAAGGCCAUCCAUUAAAGUUUGUAUUUUAAGGUAAUCAAGACUGUUUAACAGAGCAGCAUGUUCCAGAUUGUGUCUAUAUUGCCAUAGAAGACGAGGGUUGCUGCCGGGAACUAGCUUAGGAGGAUGGGGUUCUGAAGCUGGGCUUGAUUGAGGGUUUUGCGAGGCUGGAAUUGCGGAGGUAGAAACAGAGAUG